rnacentral:tRNA from 1 species
ACGGGUGUAGCUCAAUUGGUAGAGCAACGGUCUCCAAAACCGUAGGUUGCGGGUUCAAGUCCUGCCACCCGUG